UGAAUUGUAGCUCAGUUGGUGGAGUGUGGCACUUGUAAUGCCAAGAUAGUGGGUUCAAUUCCU
rnacentral:tRNA from 1 species